CAGUCGCCGCGGUAAUACGUAGGGUGCGAGCGUUAAUAGGAAUUACUGGGCGUAAAGCGUGCGCAGGCGGUUCGUUAAGACAGAUGUGAAAUCCCCGGGCUUAACCUGGGAACUGCAUUUGUGACUGGCGAGCUAGAGUAUGGCAGAGGGGGGUAGAAUUCCACGUGUAGCAGUGAAAUGCGUAGAGAUGUGGAGGAAUACCGAUGGCGAAGGCAGCCCCCUGGGCCAAUACUGACGCUCAUGCACGAAAGCGUGGGGAGCAAACAGGAUUAGAUACCCGAGUAGUCCCUGUCUCUUAUAC
rnacentral:rRNA from 1 species